UUUUUGAAGUGCUGUUUCUCUAAAUAUACAGCCAGUCACCAGCAAGCAACACUGUGAACUGCUGAAACAGCCGAAGAAUCAAAUAACUGCACAGGGCUCUCAAUUGGGGAGAGUGAUUCUAGGUUAAGCAAACAAAGGAGUGGUGCCUUUACCUCCUGGUGAACUGCAAGUUUGCAAUGGGCCAGGAUUUCAGGAUGGGCACUUCCCCCACUUACCAAGUGAAAUGCCCCCUGCAGGGCUUGUGAGCGAGGCUUUUCCCAGAGCGUGGGACAGGGUGGCUCCAUGUCUGCAUCUGCUCAUGCCUGCUCUCCCAACCAUUGUCCCAGGGCACAUCAGCAGACCUGCCCUGCAUCUUCUAGCCAGCCGUGCCCUAGCCAGCCAUGCCAGGAGGGACCCUGGCCUCAACAGGAGCAGACCUGGGCAGCGCACUGCAGCUCAACUCAACAAGAGUUCGUCAGAUUCCAAGUGUGUACAAGGCAGGGGGUCAGGAAGAACCAAGACUCGGGCCCACCAUUAAGGAGCCCACAUCCAGCACUGAAGAGGAAUCCAGAUGCAGGCUCAACUGUAACUCACAGUGGAAUGCUCCGUGUGCCCCAGGGAGAGAGGACAGUUUCAAAAUGAUGAUCAGGGAUUGUGCUGCUUUUUUCCUAUUUUUUUAAAUGUCUUUUUUUCCUGAUCAUGAAAGUAAAAGUUCAUUGGAAAAUACAGUAAGGAUAAAAAACAGGCUGGGUAUGGUGGCUCACACCUAUAAUCCUAGCACUUUGGGAGGACGAGCCAGAUGGAUCACCUGAGGUCAGGAGUUCGAGACCAACCUGGAGCCAGGCCAACAUGGUGAAAUCCCAUCUCUCCUAAAAAUAUAAAAAAUUAGCCAGGCAUGGUGGUAGGUGCCUAUAAUCCUAGCUCCUCAGGAGGCUGAGGCAAGAGAAUCGCUUGAACCCGGUAGGCGGAGGCUGCAGUGAGCUGGAUCACACCAUUGCACUCCAGCCUGGGCAACAAGAGUAAGACUCUGUCUCAAAACAAAACUAAACAAAACAAAACCAAUUUUUUGUAAAAGGACUUAGAAGAAAAGAGAUUAGUAUAUGAAGGGUCAAGUUGAUUCUUACGUGAUCCGUUAGACAAUCUCUUUCCAGAUCUUUAGUAACACCUCACAGCAUUUUGCUUGAAGAUAACUUUUAAACUGAACCAGAGAUUGAGUUUCUCAUCUGGAAACACACAUAGAGGAAAAAUACUUUAUGCAACAAAGCAAUUGACCCCAGACCAGGGAGGUCAUCAGCAUUGAGCAUGCCUGGAACUCACAGACAUCUUAGGGUAGGCUUGUGACUUCAGCAAGCCAUGGAUUUGAGAUUCAAGGCAAUUUCACAUCUGUUUGAAGGGUUAAAAGGCCCUAGCUGAUGUAAGGUUUAUGUGUGAUGAAGAGAUGACCAUUUACUUCAAUAACUGCACACUCGCCCCACAAAAGACAUUACAUGUGAGCAGAUAACCCAUGUUACAGACAAAUGUUUCUAUUUACUGAGUGACUUUUUUUUUUGAGAUGGAGUCUCGCUUUGUUGUCCAGGCUGGAGUGCAGUGGCGCGAUCUCGGCUCACUGUAAGCUCCGCCUCCCGGGUUCACGCCAUUCUCCUGCCUCAGCCUCCCGAGUAGCUGGGACUACAGGCGCCCGCCACCACGCCUGGCUAAUUUUUUGUAUUUUUAGUAGAGACGAGGUUUCACCACGUUAGCCAGGAUGAUCUCGAUCUCCUGACCUCGUGAUCCACCCGCUUCAGCCUCCCAAAGUGCUGGGAUUACGGGCGUGAGUCACCACACCCAGCCUACUGACUAUCUUUAUCAGAUGUUCUCCAGUCUAAACAAAGAAGUGACAGACAACAAGAUGGAAGUUACAAGAGAAACAUUAAGGAACUUGUAGGACAGAUGUAGGAGGAAUAACAUUGCUCUGAUAGGAUUUCCAAAAGGAAGGAUCAGGAAAAAUGGUAAGGCAGAAAUAAUCAAAGAUAUGUGAAUUUAUCUGUGCUGAAGAAAGUCAUGCAUCUUGAGAUUAAAAAAACUAGUAAACAUAACGUAAAAUCACAUACAGACCUAUGUUGAUAAAUUUCUAAACUAUAAGAUAAAGAGGAAAAACUCCAAAAGCACUCAAUUUCUAAAACAUAUUUAAAAAAUGAGAAUAUAAAGACUAUAAGGAUCUUCUUAUGCAAGACACAAAUCUCCAGUGCCAUGAAGGAAAUAAUCAAUAUAUUUGACUACAUAAAGACUAAAAGUCCUGUAGUAUGCCAUUGAUUAAGUCUAAAAUGGAACAAAAUUCAUUUGUGAUGUAUGUAAUUAAAUAAAAACUCUCAAAAAAUGGUAGCAAACUUAACAGAAAGUGCCUCUGGGAAAAGGAUGGGGAAAGCAUAAAAAUAAUCUUUACUUUUUUGUUUGUUUUUGAAACAGAGUGUCACUCUGUUGCCCAGGCUGGAGUGCAGCAGUGCAAUCAUAGUUCACUGCAGUCUUGACCUCCUGAGUUCAAGAGAUCCUCUCACCUCAGCCUCCCAAAUAGCUCGACCACAGCUGUACAUCACCGUGCCCAGUUAUACUUUUUGUAUUAUACUUUAAUUUCUGGGAUACAUGUUCAGAACACGCACGUUUUCUACAUAGGUAUUCACGUGCCAUGGUGGUUUGCUGCACCCAUUAACCCGUCAUAUACAUUAGGUGUUUCUCCUAAUGCUCUCCCUCCCCCCUCAUCCCACUCCCCCGACAGGCCCCAUUGUGUAACGUUCCCCUCCCUGUGUCCAUGUGUUCUCGUUGUUCAGCUCCCACUUAUGAGCAAGAACAUUCAGUAUUUGGUUUUCUGUUCCUGUGUUAGUUUGCUGAGAAUCAUGGUUUCCAGCUUCAUCUAUGUCCCUUCAAAGAACACUAACUCAUUCUUUUUUAUGGCUGCCUAGUAUUCCAUAGUGUAUAUGUACCACAUUUUCUUUAUCCAGUCUAUCACUACAAUAAACAUACA
ensembl:lincRNA